rnacentral:rRNA from 1 species
UACGUAGGGGGCAAGCGUUAUCCGGAUUCACUGGGCGUAAAGGGAGCGCAGGCGGCACGGCAAGUCUGAUGUGAAAACCCAGGGCUCAACCCUGGGACUGCAUUGGAAACUGCCGGGCUGGAGUGUCGGAGGGGUAAGCGGAAUUCCUAGUGUAGCGGUGAAAUGCGUAGAUAUUAGGAGGAACACCAGUGGCGAAGGCGGCUUACUGGACGACUACUGACGCUGAGGCUCGAAAGCGUGGGGAGCAAACAGG